rnacentral:misc_RNA from 1 species
GGAUAAUAUAUUUUAAAACUUAUGAAAAAUCAUUCAUAAUUGCUGCAACACUCAGAUUUGAAUAAAAAUAUUCAAAAUGAAUUCACUAGUGAUGCAACAGGGAACAAAGAUUAUAGUAGCUCUUUUGAUAUGCAGUUCCAAUUUUAGCAACUGUGAGAUUUUGGGAUGUUGGCUUGUGAGCUAUUCAGUGUAUGACUCUGUAUGCCAUAUAGUCUAAUUUAGUGUAAAGUAGUUCUAAAUAUAGGGUUUCUGGAUAAUUGUUUAGGAGUUCUAGGAGUUUUAGUUUUUUGUUUUGGGUUUAACUUGUUCCUUCUUUAUAAUUUGGUAGUUUCCUAAUUGGGAGUUAUAGCUUCUAAUCGAUGCAAGUAUCAAGAAUAAAAUGAACGCAUGCAUGUCUUGUAAUUUUUCUCUCUUUCGUUCUCUGUGUUUUAGUUGUAGUCCUGGAAAUCCUUCACUGUAAUUCAUUGGAUUGACUAUGCUUUCACCACCACCACGCCAAAUUUCUUCCACUAGACAAGGCAUUACUUCUUUUCUCUCAGAUAAACCCUUAAUUGCAAUUUUCUAGGCAGCAGCCCACCUCAAAAGCACAAACAUGGCAUAUUUAGUGUUUUUGCUUCUGCUUUUGGCCAUGAUGACUCUUGAAUUCUGUCUAAAGAUGCUCUUGGAGUUUGGAUGUUUUGGUUAAAAGCAUCUCAAAAGCUUUUGCCUGCUUAUGGCUGAAACAGCCAAGGGUCUAUAAGUAGUUGCAAAGCCACUUCAAGCAUACCAAUUGGCAGAUUUGUUCAAUCUGUCUUCUUUUAGCACUUUUCUUUCUCCUCAUUGCAAAUUGUAAGAUCUCCCUAAUAUUCAAGGCAGCACCAUGCUCUUGGUCAAAGUAUCCAAGGAAAUGUAACCCCUUGGGUGGUUUUACCAAAAUUGUUCCUAGGGUCCUGAAUACUUAGGAACAGGACAAGAACUUGAGGUGUUAUGCUGAUCUUGUCAUCCUUUGUAUUCCUGAAUAAGUCAUUUUCAGAGGCUGGUUGUAUCUAAUAGCAAAAAUUCUUUAGUUAUGGCUUUAUAGUUCUAUUUAUGGAAGUUCUAGACGUUAUAUAGUUGUUUUGUACAUCGCUUGCAUCUCCUUUGGUGCCUGUAUGAUAUAUAUAUGCCUGAUUUUUUUAAUGAUUUAGUGUUGGGAUUACUUCUUGUCCUGUUCUUGAUGUUGGAUUUGUUCAUUCUCUUUUAGUCCUUUUAAAACUGUCAGUCCAAAUGCUUUGUUUUUCCAUACAGCCAUUUGGAAGUAUCACUAACCAUGCUUUCUUGUUUUUAUCUUGUUUGAGAGAACUCUGCUUCUGCCUGUUCUGGCA